CCUACGGGAGGCAGCAGUGGGGAAUCUUGCGCAAUGGGCGAAAGCCUGACGCAGCCAUGCCGCGUGAAUGAUGAAGGUCUUAGGAUUGUAAAAAUUCUUUCACCGGGGACGAUAAUGACGGUACCCGGAGAAGAAGCCCCGGCUAACUUCGUGCCAGCAGCCGCGGUAAUACGAAGGGGGGCUAGCGUUGCUCGGAAUUACUGGGCGUAAAGGGAGCGUAGGCGGAUAGUUUAGUCAGAGGUGAAAGCCCAGGGCUCAACCUUGGAAUUGCCUUUGAUACUGGCUAUCUUGAGUAUGGGAGAGGUUAGCGGAACUCCGAGUGUAGAGGUGAAAUUCGUAGAUAUUCGGAAGAACACCAGUGGCGAAGGCGGCUAACUGGCCCAUUACUGACGCUGAGGCUCGAAAGCGUGGGGAGCAAACAGGAUUAGAUACCCUGGUAGUCCACGCCGUAACGAUGAGUGCUAGUUGUCCGGCGAUGCAUGCAUGUCGGUGGACGCAGCUAACCGACAUUAAGACACCUCCGCCGUGGGGAGGUACGGUCGCGAGAUUAAACUAACGUAAGAAGUUAGAGG
rnacentral:rRNA from 1 species